CCCGCUGAACUUAAGCAUAUCAAUAAGCGGAGGAAAAGAAACUAACAAGGAUUCCCCUAGUAACUGCGAGUGAAGCGGGAAAAGCUCAAAUUUAAAAUCUGGUGGUCUUUGGCCAUCCGAGUUGUAAUUUAGAGAAGCGUCUUCCGCGCUGGACCAUGCACAAGUCUCCUGGAAUGGAGCGUCAUAGAGGGUGAGAAUCCCGUCUUUGGCAUGGACACACCAGGGCUUCUGUGAUGCGCUCUCGAAGAGUCGAGUUGUUUGGGAAUGCAGCUCAAAAUGGGUGGUGAACUCCAUCUAAAGCUAAAUAUUGGCGAGAGACCGAUAGCGAACAAGUACCGUAAGGGAAAGAUGAAAAGCACUUUGGAAAGAGAGUGAAACAGUACGUGAAAUUGUUGAAAGGGAAACGCUUGAAGUCAGUCGCGUCGGCCGAGACUCAGCCUUGCCUCGGCUUGGUGUAUUUCUUGGCCCGACGGGUCAGCAUCAAUUUUGCCCCUUGGAUAAUGGCUAGGGAAAUGUGACACCUUUAUAGGUGUGUUAUAGUCUCUCGUCGCGUGCAAGGGUCAGGAUUGAGGAACUCAGCAUGCACCUUCGGGUGUCGGGGCUUUUGUCCACGAUACAUGCUUAGGAUGUUGGCGUAAUGGCUUUAAACGACCCGUCUUGAAACACGG
rnacentral:rRNA from 1 species